ACUUUAUUUUGAAAGCAUUGAUGUGAGCAUGCAAUUAUGUCUGCAUUGACGCUAAUUUGGCUAAUUUUUCGUUGCAGUUCCUGAGUGUGACCAUUAGAGGGUAGUGAAGACAAAUGAUUAUAUACACUGCCAACCGUCAUCUCCACAAAGGCAGACAGGAGGCGAGGGUCACAUGACAGACGGAUGUAUCGGUCAGUAAAUGUAGCCUUGUUAACUUGGUCAUCACUGUGUGGAGAUGUCUGUUCAACAUCAAUAGCACAUUACACUGGUCACCUGCAUUUAAGCUAGCUAAAUUGGCUCAAAGAUAGUGGAUGAGGAAAAUGUGCCAGCCUCUGCUACCUGCAUACAGCAAUGGCGGACGUUUUGACGCUGCAGUGAAACGAUUAAUCAUUUUCAACGGCAGGAUCACAAUAUUCCAUCAGAUGCUUCUCUCUCCAAAUGACCUGUUGCAUUACCGCCUCACGAACAACCACACUGUGAGACAAUAUUAGUUACUGCUCCACCCGGACAUUGUUGUUCCAAUUUAUAAUCACAAUAUGUAAGCGGAUAGGAGACUGAGUGAACACCAUCAGAACAUCAAACCAGGUGCUGCUGUGACUGCUGGCUGUGGAGUCUGACCUGCUGAGAGGACAUGUGACUGAAUUUGCAAACACACUAUCAAAAAAGGCUGGGUAAACUCAGGAACACAGUGUGAGUGUGAAGAUCUGGCCAACUCCAGCAGCAUUGUAAAUGAGUCUUGAUAAUCUUCCAGACCGGGGAGAGAGCAAAGGAGCAGGAGGGAAGGAGUCUCCUCCUCAAGGUUGCGGUAGAGCAGGACUGGCUGGGUGAGCCACACCGCAGUAGAAUAUAAAUGCAGGAUUUCAGGAAUAGGGGGAGAGUGAUGGGGAGAAGGGAGCUGCAAAGGAGCAGGCUGCAGAGGAGCAUGAAUACAGGAACAACUGGUGUGGGAGGUUUUGCAGGAUAGUUUAUUCAAUAAUAAGCAACAAAUCAAAUGAGGUAUAAGUUCCUGUGAUAAGUUCACAAGCCCAUAACUACCCUUGUUCAUAUUACAAAAAAAAGAAAAACAAGGAAAAUACACCGUCUGAGAUUAUCACAUAUUUAGAUGUCCUCCAUUCUGAGUAGAUUCCAGGACUUAUGUAACAAUUGAGUCUCAUCAUGACUUACUUUUCUGGUGUGUAAUCUUUCCCUCAGUUAUUUCCACAACAUCCUGACAAAGGGCACAGAUUUGUACAUCUAGAGGAUGAUGGUGGUAGUGAAUAGCAAACUAGACUGUUAUUCAAAACAAAAUGUCUUCUAUGAUGAAGUUUUUACUGUAGAAGGUGAAAGUCAGUACCAAAUGCUGAGUCUGGGAAGAAGUCCUUGCUCUGAAUGAGGCUAUAUUGCAAAUAGCUUUUUUACAACAAGGUAGAAGUGUUACCAUGGAUUUUUGCUCUUUAGUGCAAUGACAAAGAGAUUUGUCUCCUCCAAAGCACAAGACAAAAUGUAAAAUUUCUGCAGGGGUUAGAUUAGGGAUUACUGUAUCUGUCAUUUACUUUGAAAGUAAGAAAUCUCUGGUUCACUUUAAAGCCACUACAUAAUUUUUGGAAACAAAACUCCCAGCUUGUUGGUGUUGGUGCAAAUUUCCACUGACUUUGGGAACAUUUGUUGCAACAAGAAGUUCAAGGAAUAAAUGGUCAUCAUGGUAUACACAAGGGGGCACUUGUCAAGCACAGCCAAAAAGCGGAUCAAUUCGCAAACAUUUGUAUGAUUUUGUUCGGUCAUUAGUGAGCCUAUGGUGCAAUUCCAGACAUAAUUAUUGCAUUUCGUAUACAAAGACUUAAAUCUUCACUCAUCUCUGUUCUUUGAAGUUUUUCCAGAGUGCAGCCUCUUACACUGAUUCAAAUACAUUCAACGCCACACAAAGACAAAGGAAGCCUGGGACUCAAUGAUUUAUCUUCAGAGAUCUAGACUCAAAGAGAGAGGAAGGGCAGUCAACAUUAAAAAAGAAAAAAAAAGUUGAAAUAUAGCCGCAAGCAGCAAUGACGGGGUCCAAGCAGAUUGCGAGCAUUUGGAUGCUUGACAAGAAGCAAAACUCUUGAUUUUGGUGAAAAUAAUUCAUUGUGGUCAUCACUAUAUGUUGAUGGUCUAGCCUGAGGUAUAUAAAUCUACUUUCAGAAACAUUUUAUGUAGUUUAUGACCUUCAGUGAAGACAUGUUUGACAUGACUACAUUUGUUGCUAUUUUGCUAAAAACUGAUUGGCUUGUAUAAUUGGAACAGAUUGAUGUAUCGAAAUUUUUUUAACAACUUAAGAUCAGUGAAGUCUGUAGAUGAUCCUGAUUAAGUUUUGGGACGAUUGGCCCAGCGGUUUCUGACGAGAUGUCAAAAAUAGGAUUUUGAGGAUAUUGAGGGGGGAAAAUAUGACUAGAAGACCAGAUGCAGAUGACUUGAGAGAUUAAUAUAAUGAAAGAAUUUUGACUCUAGGCCAAGCCAUUUGAGAUAAUUGUGAAAAUGUACACUUGAUUAUUACAGUAUCAUCUUGAGGUCAUCGAGUGUCAUAUGUACCUGAGUAGUGGGCGGAAUUUGCAAUCCACCUACCAAUUUUUGUUUCAAGGUUUUUACGGAUUCAAACCCUGGACCUUUGCAUCCCCAGAGAAGGUGACUUACUGAUUGGAAGACUAGCAAAAAAACAGGUUUAGACAAAAUUCAAAAUGGCGGAAAAUCUAUCAGGCGCAAAUGUGCGUGGCUUAUAUGGAUAGAUACGUCUGGACCCACCAAAUCAUUUUUUUUGUCUGAGUAGUGGGUGAGAUUUCCAUCUGCCGAGUUUGGGAACUGUAGCUGUCACGGUUUCUGAGACCGAGAUAUGAGGAGGAGAAGGAGAAGAGUUCCAACUGCUUUGCUGCUUUGACCCCUAGAAAUUCAAAAGGCACAACUUACCAGGACACAACACCACCUAAACCACCACUAUGAUGGAAUGCCCCACAGAUUCCCUUUAUUUUGCUCAUAUCCUAACUCCAAAUCCUUAUUUUUUCUCAUCCAUAGUAUUAUUAUCAAUUAUUACAAAGGCAAUUAACUAGAAUUGGUACAAUAUUUGAGUAAUUGCUGCUCAUUAAAUAAGAGACGUUAAAUGAUGGGAUUAAAGAGAGAACAGAUAAAAGGGCAGUAAUGUACCAGUCCACAAUUUGAAGGGGAAGUGGGAUCUCACAGUGAUCCUUGGAAUUAAAAUGAGAAAUGGCGUUGUAAUCAAGUGUUUUGGUAAGAGAGAAACUAAUCUACAAGAAGAUAUCAUCCUUUCAUUCAGCAUUUCAUGAGCCGGAGCCCAGUUGUCCUUUGAAGUCAGCUAGUUGCAGAUAGAAGAAAAGAAUAUUGAGGUCCCUUUGAUUUUCAUUACGUCAGAAGCUACUUAAUAUAGUUAAAAGAGAAACCUGAUGCAGAUUUGUUUCAAGAAGCAUGGGGUUAACAUCUGGAUAAUAUAAAUAUGGACACUGCUCUGCUUUCCUAAACAAGCAAGAUAAAAUGAGCCAGUAACAGAUGGUGCCUCAAACUGUAGUGAAGCAAACUGUUCUUAAGUGCUCUUUUCAUAAUAACACAGAGCUGAGCGGGAUGCUGUGAAAGAUGAGGACAGGAGCCAGCACAUCAUUUGAAAAAUUUGCUGUCAGAUAUUUUCUGUAGUGAUACUCUACAAACGAAUACUGAAAUGGGGU